rnacentral:rRNA from 1 species
UCGAGGAUCUUCGGCAAUGGGCGCAAGCCUGACCGAGCGACGCCGCGUGUGCGAUGAAGGCCUUCGGGUUGUAAAGCACUGUCGAGGGGGAGGAAAGCGCAAGCUUGACCUAUCCCUGGAGGAAGCACGGGCUAAGUUCGUGCCAGCAGCCGCGGUAAGACGAACCGUGCGAACGUUGUUCGGAAUCACUGGGCUUAAAGGGCGCGUAGGCGGGCUGUCAAGUCAGGGGUGAAAUCUUUCGGCUCAACCGGAAAACUGCCUUUGAUACUGACAGCCUUGAGGAAGGUAGGGGCAUGUGGAACUUCCGGUGGAGCGGUGAAAUGCGUAGAUAUCGGAAGGAACACCGGUGGCGAAAGCGACGUGCUGGACCUUUUCUGACGCUGAGGCGCGAAAGCCAGGGGAGCAAACGG